UACGAGAGGCCCAAACGUUAUUCGGAAUUACUGGGCUUAAAGAGUUCGUAGGCGGCAUUGCGAGUAGGGUGUGAAAGCCCUCGGCUCAACCGAGGAAUUGCGCCCUAAACUGCAGUGCUUGAGGAAGCUAGAGGUGAGCGGAACUGAUGGUGGAGCGGUGAAAUGCGUUGAUAUCAUCAGGAACACCGGAGGCGAAGGCGGCUCACUGGGGCUUUUCUGACGCUGAGGAACGAAAGCCAGGGUAGCGAACGGG
rnacentral:rRNA from 1 species